rnacentral:rRNA from 1 species
CGGAACGGGUGAGUAAUGCGUGACCAACCUCGCCCCAUGCUCCAGAAUAGCUCUUGGAAACGGGUGGUAAUGCUGGAUGCUCCAACUUGACGCAUGUCUUGUUGGGAAAGUGUUUAGUGGCAUGGGAUGGGGUCGCGUCCUAUCAGCUUGUAGGCGGGGUAAUGGCCCACCUAGGCUUCGACGGGUAGCCGGCCUCGAGAGGGCGGACGGCCACAUUGGGACUGAGAUACGGGCCCAGACUCCUACGGGAGGCAGCAGCG